UAAAAAUUUAUGAUUUUAAAAAUUUAUUUAUUAUUUAUUUUACAUGUAAAUUUUAGUAUGAAUUUUAUAUUAUUUUAAUAAUAAUAAUAAUAAUAAUUUAUUUUGCAGUAAUUAAUAUUAAAAAUUUAAGAAAUUAAGAUUUAGUAAUAUUAUAAUUAUUAACCAAUUUUGUGCCAGCAGUUGCGGUUAUACAAAAAUUAAAAUAAAUUUUUUUAGUUAUAAUAAAUAUAAUAAUUUUUAAAUUAAAUGUUAAAUUAUUAAGUGAAAUUUUAAUUUAAUGAAAUUUUAUUUAAAAAAUAUGAUUUAAUAAAUUUAUUAAAAAACUAGGAUUAGAUACCCUAUUAUUAAGAAUUUAAAUUAAAAUACUAAAAUAGUAAAUAAAUAUUAUUGAAACUUAAAUAAUUUGGCGGUAUUUUAGUUCAUUUAGAGGAAUCUGUUUAUUAAUUGAUAAUCCACGAAUAAAUUUACUUAAUUUAUUAUUUUGUAUAUCGUUGUUAAAAAAAUAUUUUUAAAUAAAAAUAAUAUUUAAAAAUUAAAAAUAAAAAUUAGUUCAGAUCAAGAUGCAGAUAAUAAUUAAGAAUUUAAUGGAUUACAAUAAAUAUAUUUAAAUGAAUUUUUUUUUGAAAAAAUUAAAUGAAAGUGGAUUUAAAUGUAAUUUUAUUUAAUUUAAUAAAAUGAUUUAAAAUUAAAAUAUGUACAUAUUGCCCGUCACUUUCAUUUUAAAAUUGGAAUAAGUCGUAACAAAGUAGAGGUACUGGAAAGUGUUUCUAGAAAGAC
rnacentral:ncRNA from 1 species